CUAACCCACCACACUGUGCAUAAACUGGCUCUAACCCACCACACUGUGCAUAAACUGGCUCUAACCCACCACACUGUGCAUAAACUGGCUCUAACCCACCACACUGUGCAUAAACUGGCUCUAACCCACCACACGGUGCAUAAACUGGCUCUAACCCACCACACGGUGCAUAAACUGGCUCUAACCCACCACACUGUGCAUAAACUGACUCUAACCCACCACAUUGUGCACAGCCCAGCUUCCCUAAACACUGUCCGAAAACUCCUCCCAGGCCUGACAACCAGGCCCUUUAUUAGGCCCAAUGAUUAGGUACUGGGCCACAGCUGUAGUGGGCAUGUUGUCUCCCACAGCUGUGGCCAAACCUGUGAGUUGGGUUGGUGCUGCCCUCUGGUGGACAGCCGCCCAAUUUCCUUCCUUCCCAGGCACCAACUAGCAACAUUCUUUUUUAUAAGGUAGCUGCUUUUUCAUUAAAAAAAAAAAAAAAAACCCCUUAAACUUUAAAAUCUAAAUGUAACUUAGUAAAGAUGGAAUAUACAGACCAUUGUAGGUUAGACAGAAUAAUUCUGCAAUAAGAGUAAAUAGAGGUCUGAACACAUUGAGCCUGAAACACUCCUGGGGAAAAGAUAAUGGAAACCAGCGGAACAUUUACAUAGGUAGUGUCAGUCUUCUUAGAGAAACAUGUCUUAGUGGUAAAGAACUUGAGCAGGUCAGUGUUCAGGCCAAAUGCAUUUUCACUGCUGACCAGCAGGAGCGAUGGUCCCUCAGAUCACUGCUGUAGCUGAUACAGGCUGUAGCUGACACUUUACAUUCAUUAAAGUGAAACAUUUCAGUCACAGACCUUCUUCAGGCAUGUAGUAUAAGGACAAAAGAUGGAAUUCAGAAGAUCAUGCGACCAAUCAGAGAAAACUUAAAAUAUAAAAGGGAUUAAUAAAGUGAAUUAAAAGAAACGCUUCAGGUUGAAUUCUGUCAGUAGAAUGAGAGGGGAAUCGAUGGAAAUGAUCAAAAAUUAUAUGCCGCACAGACAUUGGGAAUUAUUUUUCCACACUGAGAGUAGUUUAAGCUACUGUAGGACAACACACGCAUCUGGGCUGUGGUGAAAAUGCAGCGUGACCGAUGCAUCAGGGCUGUCGAGCCUUUAGAGGCGGAGGGUGAUGAAAAGUGGACUGAGAAUCCGGGAAUUAACCGGAGGAAUGUGCAGUUAAAGGGGAAUUGCAUUUUAUAGCACUUCUGCUUCUCAUGACUGAUAUUGUCCUACUAAUAAAUGUGUCACCCUUAAUUUUUCGAUUAGUUAUUUCAUUUUAAAUGUCUAACGUUAGAAAGAAAGACCUAUUUUUUUUUAGCGCAAGUCGACAUAGUAGUACGGUUUCCGGUUUUUUCUUCUUCUUAAAUUUCGUUUCGCGGCCGCAAAACAUUCCGUUAGCUUAGCGUUGAAAUCGAACAAACUAACGUUCUUUUGUUUGAUGCGAUAUCGGUGUAAUAAUGAGGUGCAUUGUACCCGGUUGUUAUAAUGCCCCCGUUAAACUUGCAUUGAAAGCACAUUUUCAUAGUUUUCCAGGCGAUGAAACUUUGUACCAGACAUGUCUGGAUGUAAUCAGACACCCCAACACAACAGCCGAAGAAGUUCGCAAACGAGGAUAAUGCAGCGACCACUUGAAGCCAUCGGCUACCAAGGCGACCGUAUGAACCCUGGAGCUAUACCCACCGUUUUCCUAUUGUUGGUUGAACCGCUCGAGGUUCUGCCCACAGAGCAGCUCUCAUCCCAUAAAACACCUGUAUGAGGAGCGCAUCAUGUCUUCAUGGGGGAUUCUUCAGGUAAGCUAAAUUGUAGUCGUUAAAUCAUAGCUCAUUAUAGCCUAAUCACCGUCACAACUGGUCAUAUAAACAAGAGCCACCAGCUGUAUUUCAGCCAUUUUUAAACAC